UACGAAGGGGGCUAGCGUUGCUCGGAAUCACUGGGCGUAAAGCGCACGUAGGCGGAUUGUUAAGUCAGGGGUGAAAUCCCAGAGCUCAACUCUGGAACUGCCUUUGAUACUGGGUGUCUUGAGUAUGGAAGAGGUGAGUGGAAUUCCGAGUGAUAGAGGUGAAAUUCGUAGAUAUUCGGAGGAACACCAGUGGCGAAGGCGGCUCACUGGUCCAUUACUGACGCUGAGGUGACGAAAGCGUGGGGAGCAAACAGG
rnacentral:rRNA from 1 species